AAGUACCUUGAGAAUAAAGGUAAUGAUUAAUCUGUCAGGCACAAAAGGGAUUGUUUUGGGGAUUUCGGGUUCUAAGUCACAGAUUCAAACAAAUAGCAGCGAACAGGGAAUGACAGUUCCACCAGAAGACGAUUAAGCCACAGCCUCUAAUCGGAACGGCAUUUGUACAGUCAGAGACUCUUGCCAGACAUCUCCAGGAAUCUGUGAGCCAUUGUCAAAACGUCCGUUUUCAUCUGGCUGUGAAAGUGAGGACCACAACAAGUAGGUAUUGGUGGAAACAGGAGUCCUCAGAGAAGCCCCAAGAUGCAGCCUGAGGGAGCAGAAAAGGGGAAAAGCUUCAAGCAGAGACUGGUCUUGAAGAGCAGCUUAGCGAAAGAAACCCUCUCUGAGUUCUUGGGCACGUUCAUCUUGAUUAGCAGGUUUGCAUUUGCUUCUGCUGGGUUCCCCAGGUAUACCGCCAGCCAGAAAUGAUUGCUGUGAAGUGGCAAACUGAAAAGAGAAGCCUGGGGGAUGCAGGUGCCUGUUGAAGAGCACUCUCCCAAAAGAAUGGCACUCUGUGCCCUUUCUCCCAACUGUGACCGUAAAUGA
rnacentral:sRNA from 1 species